UAGUCCACGCCGUAAACGAUGGAUACUAGUUGUUGGGAUUUAUCUCAGUGACUAAGCGAAAGUGAUAAGUAUCCCACCUGGGGAGUACGUUCGCAAGAAUGAAACUCAAAGGAAUUGACGGGGGCCCGCACAAGCGGUGGAGCAUGUGGUUUAAUUCGAUGAUACGCGAGGAACCUUACCAGGGCUUGAAUGCAUAACGACAGGCGCAGAGAUGUGCCCUCCUUCGGGCGUUUUGCAAGGUGCUGCAUGGUUGUCGUCAGCUCGUGCCGUGAGGUGUCAGGUUAAGUCCUAUAACGAGCGCAACCCUUGUCCCUAGUUGCCAGCAGGUCAUGCUGGGCACUCUAGGGAGACUGCCGGUGAUAAGCUGGAGGAAGGUGGGGGAUGACGUCAAGUCCUCAUGGGCCCUUAUGUCCAGGGGCUACACACGUACUACAAUGGCCGGUACAGAAGGUUGCAAUACCGCGAGGGUGGGAGCC
rnacentral:rRNA from 1 species